rnacentral:rRNA from 1 species
GAUGAACGCUGGCGGCGUGCUUAACACAUGCAAAUCGAACGAUGAAGCCCAGCUUGCUGGGUGGAUUAGUGGCGAACGGGUGAGUAACACGUGAGUAACCUGCCCUUGACUCUGGGAUAAGCCUGGGAAACUGGGUCUAAUACUGGAUAUGACUUCUCAUCGCAUGGUGGGGGGUGGAAAGAUUUAUUGGUCUUGGAUGGACUCGCGGCCUAUCAGCUUGUUGGUGAGGUAAUGGCUCACCAAGGCGACGACGGGUAGCCGGCCUGAGAGGGUGACCGGCCACACUGGGACUGAGACACGGCCCAGACUCCUACGGGAGGCAGCAGUGGGGAAUAUUGCACAAUGGGCGCAAGCCUGAUGCAGCGACGCCGCGUGAGGGAUGACGGCCUUCGGGUUGUAAACCUCUUUCAGUAGGGAAGAAGCGAGAGUGACGGUACCUGCAGAAGAAGCGCCGGCUAACUACGUG